rnacentral:tRNA from 1 species
GGUUUUAUAUUUUAAUGAGAAAAAUAUUAAAUUGCAAAUUUAAAGAUACAUAGUGUGUUAAAACUU